GUGGGGAAUCUUGCGCAAUGGGCGAAAGCCUGACGCAGCCAUGCCGCGUGAAUGAUGAAGGUCUUAGGAUUGUAAAAUUCUUUCACCGGGGACGAUAAUGACGGUACCCGGAGAAGAAGCCCCGGCUAACUUCGUGCCAGCAGCCGCGGUAAUACGAAGGGGGCUAGCGUUGCGCGGAAUUACUGGGCGUAAAGGGCGCGUAGGCGGAUCGUUAAGUCAGAGGUGAAAUCCCAGGGCUCAACCCUGGAACUGCCUUGGAUACUGGCGAUAUUGAGUAUGGGAGAGGUAUGUGGAACUCCGAGUGUAGAGGUGAAAUUCGUAGAUAUUCGGAAGAACACCAGUGGCGAAGGCGACAUACUGGCUCAUUACUGACGCUGAGGCGCGAAAGCGUGGGGAGCAAACAGGAUUAGAAACCCGGGUAGUCC
rnacentral:rRNA from 1 species